rnacentral:lncRNA from 10 species
CCCUACUGAAGUCCAGAGGCACUUUUCUGAAAGGCUCUGCUUUGACCUGAAGUAUUUUAUCUAUCCUCAGUCUCAGGACACUGUUGAUGGAAUUAAGGCCAAGCACAUCUGCAAAAAAGACAUUGCUGGAGGAGGUGCAAAGAGCUGGAAACCAAGUCUCCAGUCCUGGGAAAAGCAGUGGUAUGGAAAAGCAAUGGAAAGAGCAUUUUGAAAAUGCCAUUCCACUGUUUUCUGGCCUUUAUGAUUUCUGCUGAGAAAUCCACUGUUAGUCUGAUGGGGUCUCCUUCAUAGCACCAAUGACCUGAAGAGCCUUGUUGAAGGAAGACUCCAUCUGAUGACUCAGAGCAAGUAUUUUUUAGUGUGUUAUUGUUAUUAGCAGAAAGAGGGCCAUAAAAUACAUGGGGCAAGCUGAAUAUAUCUUAGGC